AUUGAACGCUGGCGGCAUGCCUUACACAUGCAAGUCGAACGGCAGCAUGGAGAGCUUGCUCUCUGAUGGCGAGUGGCGAACGGGUGAGUAAUGCAUCGGAACGUACCGUGUAAUGGGGGAUAACGUAGCGAAAGUUACGCUAAUACCGCAUACGACCUGAGGGUGAAAGCAGGGGAUCGCAAGACCUUGCGUUAUACGAGCGGCCGAUGUCAGAUUAGCUAGUUGGUGAGGUAAAGGCUCACCAAGGCGACGAUCUGGAGCGGGUCUGAGAGGAUGAUCCGCCACACUGGGACGGAGAGACGGCCCAGACCGCUACGGGAGGCAGCAGUGGGUAAUUUUGGACAAUGGGGGCAACCCUGAUCCUGCCAUGCCGCGUGAGUGAAGAAGGCCUUCGGGUUGUAAAGCUCUUUCGGCCGGGAAGAAAUCGCACAGGCUAAUACUCUGUGUGGAUGACGGUACCGGCAUAAGAAGCACCGGCUAACUACGUGCCAGCCGCCGCGGUAA
rnacentral:rRNA from 1 species